CAGGAUACUAUCGGGAUAGAGUUUGAUUUAGGGAGAUCGGAACUUAGGGAGGAGUAGUGAAAUGCGUUGAUACCCUAGGGAACNCCAGUGGCGAAGGCGGAUCUCUGGAAACAAACUGACACUGAGACACGAAAGCUAGGGGAGCGAAGCAGAUUAGAGACNUGCGUAGUCCUAGCCCUAAACGAAUGCUUGCUAGCCGCAUUUGCCCCGCCUUUGGCGGGGUAGGUGUAGCGUAGGUAACCCGAUAAGCAAGCCACCUGGGGAGUACGGCCGCAAGGUUGAAACUCAAAGGAAUUGGCGGGGAGGCACACAACCAGUGGAACAUGUGGUUCAAUUCGAAACGAACCGAAGAACCUCACCAAGGUUUGACAUGCCGAUGAUGUCUCCGUGAAAACGGGGUUUCCGCAAGGACAUCGGCACAGGUACUGCAUGGCUGUCGUCAGCUCGUUCCGUGAGGAGUACCCUUAAGUGGGACAACGAGCGCAACCCCUAUCUUGUGUUAAAUCUGUCACAAGAGACCGACCCGUCUUUGACGGGUAGGAAGGCAGGGCAGACGUCAAGUCAGCAUGGUCCUUAUACCUUGGGCUACACACAUGUUACAAUGAAAGGAACAACGGGUUUUGCUAUCCUGUAAAGGAAUGCAAAUCUCUCAAAUUCUUUCUCAGUGGGGAUUGAGGUCUGCAACUCGACCUCAUGAACACGGAAUUGGUAGUAAUCGUGGAUCAGCUAUGCCGCGGUGAAUACGUUCUUGCCUCUUGCACACACCGCCCGUCAAGCCAACAAAGUCGGAGAUACUUGAAUCCCGAUUUAAUCGGGAGAGAGUAUUACCGGCGAUGGGGGUUAAGUCGUAACAAGGUAGCCGUA
rnacentral:rRNA from 1 species